AUCCAGCUGACGAGUUUUACAUAAGGCAAAACGCACGUCCUGCAU
rnacentral:hammerhead_ribozyme from 1 species